rnacentral:rRNA from 1 species
UGCGCAGGCGGUUCUGUAAGACCGAUGUGAAAUCCCCGGGCUUAACCUGGGAACUGCAUUGGUGACUGCAGAGCUAGAGUGUGUCAGAGGGAGGUGGAAUUCCGCGUGUAGCAGUGAAAUGCGUAGAGAUGCGGAGGAACACCGAUGGCGAAGGCAGCCUCCUGGGAUAACACUGAGCUCAGGCACGAAAGCGUGGGGAGCAAACA